UAUAAAAUAAAUUACCUGUUCUCUCGUGCUGUUUCAUAGGACAUGUCACUAAACCUCACGCAACAUUUCGUCUAAUUUUAAUAGCAAUUUCCAUGGGAAGAAUUCUAAUUUCUGCCUGAAACCUAACUGCAAAGAGCAGCAGGGGAUAAACAGCCUCCACUGUAAUCCCGCCGGCCACCGGUGCUGCAGAGAUCUUCAGUCACUACCUCUAAUCGAAUCGCCAGAGGACCGGAUUCCAUAUGCUUUAGGAGUUCCCUCUUUGAAUAGAAGCGGUUCAGGUUGCUUCGCCUUCUCCGAUUAAAAAUGGGGUUUCGUAGUUGGUUGUUUACUGGUGGGACCUUUGGGUAACAUUGGUUGAGGUGCAAUUUUGGCAGACGACACAAAAUUUUGAUAUCUAUCUAAUGACAGAACGAACUUCAAAGAACUUCCAAGGAGCGCCAGUGUCUAAUGACAGUUGAGUUUCUUGGUUCCAAUACAAGUGAUUUUGAUAUUAAUUUGAUUGAAUUCUAAAGGAAUGGAAUUGUUCCCUUCAGUUCUAGCUGACUUGUGGUUAUUUUCCCUUUUAUUUGUUUAUUCAUUUUUUUAUGUGAUAAUGCAACCACAUUUUGAAGAUAAAAAGAAUAUUAAGUUU